rnacentral:misc_RNA from 1 species
GAACGCAUAUUGCGCCUUCUGGUAUUCCGGAAGGCAUGCUUGUUUGAGUGUCAUGAAAUUCUCAACUACUUUUUUAACAUUUUAUGUGUUAAGGGUGAAGUUGGAGUUGGAGGAUCAUUGCUGGCGCAACUCUUGUCUAAGGUUGCUUGUUGGCUCCUCUUGAAUGGAUGAGCUUUUCUAAUGGAUCAUAGCUCAGUAACACUAAUGUGAUAAUUAUCUACGUUAGAUGUUAAAACUAUGAGUAGAGUGGAAGCUCCUAUAGAAAAGAAGAUAAUACGUCUUGGGUGAUAACAAACCCUUGAACUUUGACAAAUCUGACCUCAAAUCAGGUAGGACUACCCGCUGAACUUAAG